rnacentral:rRNA from 1 species
AUGGCCAUACCACAUUGAAAACACCGGUUCUCGUCCGAUCAUCGAAGUUAAGCAAUGUCGGGGCGUCUGUUCCUCAUGUUAGAGGCGACCAUUUCUUUUGGAGCUAAGUCGGCCUGCCACUGAGU